rnacentral:rRNA from 1 species
UACGUAGGGGGGCAAGCGUUGUCCGGAUUUAUUGGGCGUAAAGAGCGUGUAGGCGGCCAUUCAGGUCAGCUGUGAAAACUCGAGGCUCAACCUCGAGACGUCGGUUGAAACCGUUUGGCUAGAGUCCGGAAGAGGAGAGUGGAAUUCCCGGUGUAGCGGUGAAAUGCGCAGAUAUCAGGAAGAACACCCGUGGCGAAGGCGGCUCUCUGGAA